GUUAAUUUACUGUGUGUAUCGCCAUUUUGAUGAAAUUCAGAAGCUAAUGCUUUUAACAAUUUCACAUAAUUUAAGUGUUUCAAUAAAGAUAUUACAACACGUAAUCAACUAUUAUGUAUUGUUUGUUGCGUUAGGUUUUACAAUAACGCUACAAUCUUCGAUGUGCAGAUCAGAUGCAAAGAGGCUUUGUUAAAAGUAUAAUUACAGAAUUAUGUUUAUUAGAAAUACAUAAAUAGGGGUAUUACAAUAUUACCAUUACUUUUGAAUACUCUUACACACAUACAUAAUAUACACAACUAUGAAGCUUGAAAGUCUCUGAAUUUGUACCUACUCGAUUGACUGCAAAAUUUUAAGAUUUUCAAACGCUUCAAUUAUGAGCAGUGAUAAAUAAUAGACGAAAGGAAACUAUUACAAAAAGAGUUACUAACUGCAGAAAAAAGGAAAUAAAAAAAAAGAAAUGACAUGAUAAGAAGUAUUUAGUCAACCAAAUAGUUAAGUAUGUAACCGAAACAUAAUCAUUUUCAAAUUUAUGG